rnacentral:lncRNA from 1 species
AAGUGAGCGCCCGCUGCCUUCGUUCUCCCAACUGGAGCAAACUCUGUGGCGGCGACGAUGGCGGCCGUCAGGUCGGUGGUGAUUAAUAGAGAGGAUUUCUCUGCAGCGCGACGCUCUCCUCUCCCGAAAGGUUGGCUCCACGGUCCCGCCGGCCGCGCAGGUCUGGCUGAACUGCUUGGGGUCGCCCGGCUCCUCUCGAUUUUAUGAAAAUGGCCUAAUUGAGGUGU